CUCCAAAACUAGAUGGAUAAAUAGUACUAGAGGUAAGAGGAAAAAUAUGUAUUUUUGAUUGAACUGUCCCUUUAAUCUGUGUUUGGGAAAGUGGUUAUCAUGUUUUUCUUUUGGUUUCAUUUAGUUUUGAGUAGUCUUUCUGAUUACUUUGCAUGCUAUGUUACUAACUGCAUGUAUCCUGAAUCGCUCUUGCUAUGUUACUGACACUGCACAAAGCUUCACAUUUGCAUGAAUGAGAUGCAAAACACAAGAGGAUAUGCUGUAGUGAUGCAACAUCUUAUCUCCUCACAGCAGUGGCCCUGUCCUAGUUAUCAGCCAGAUAAAACGGAAGUUGUGACACACUAUCACACUGAUUUCCGUUAGACUGUUGUAGUGCUGUAUCUGUCAAAAAAAAAUCCCUUGCAGUUACUCAUGAAUUGUAUUUUAUUCUUUAUAUAAUACAUGUUGCUUUGAUUUACUGCAAGACAGGAUAAAACAUUUUGCUUAAAUGUCCAUAUCAGCAAAAACCUCACCUUAAAUCAUACAACAGGAAAUGUUGCAUUAUGCCACACCGUCAGCAUGAAUGACUCACAGCUUGGUGACACUUUAUGAAAAUCAUUUUUAAUUUGUGUCAAUACAAACAGUGACCAUUUAUGAUUAUCACAAAACACAAGCUCUUUCAUCACCCUUGAUUUCAAAGAAACCAUGAGGAAAACGAACAUGGCAAAUCCCAUCUGCGAAACUCACCCCUUGCCCCCCCCCCAUGAAAGUAACUCAUGUUCCAGGAGGUCACACUCCCAGGAGACAAAUGCAUUCAGCAGGAAUGCAUUCUUGGAUGGACUUAAGAACACGCUAUUGUCUGGGUCUACAAAAUUAGCCAUUGAACCUUUAAAAGGGAGGAAAAUCUGUGCAAUAGCCUCCCACAGCCCUACAGUACAGGGCAGCAUGCUCCCAUUUAGUCAGCAGCUAAAGUAAACCAAAGUCCAAAGCAGAACAAAAGACACACAAUCCCCAAGGUGUUACCCAAGUUCAGCACUGGCUGGUAGAUCAUUUCAGGUACUAAAUUACUGCUGCUGGCCAUGCAGGCUUGGAUUGACACUACCAUCAAACUAUGCAAAGACACAUUAUGAGUGCACAAGCAACAAGGACUCACAGUUACAUGGACAUGCACUUUUUGUCACUUUCUUUUACAUUCUGCCUGACAAUUACCUGACUAUCUCCAUCUUAAAUCCAAUUAAAACCUGGUGGAAAGGUAAGCAGCAACUCACGUGUCUAGUUUAACUUAAAUAAUCAAAUUCUUGCACUUAAGCUAAAAGCUGGACAUCCACCAACAAGUUGCAAAACACUGCAGGAUUACAGGUCACUGAUUAAUAAGUGCUCUGUUGUGGCACUGUUGUUUAUCUCGUUGUUCUUUGGUGUUAUACAUCAUAAUAAAAUGGCAGCUUUAUCAUGUGAUUUAACAAACAUAUUUGAUAAGCUUGCUAAAUACUGUAGAUUUGAUUAACGUGUUUAUGGUUGCUGCAGCAGUCGUUCAAAGAAAUCGCUGCAAAAAAGGCUUUUAUAUCUUCCUGUAUUAGACAUUUUGACAUCUUGAGGUCUUAGUUUAAGUUGUCUGACUAACUUGUUCCACCUGACAAGCAAUCUAAGGUGUUAGACAUACAUAACAAUUUGGCUGUGAAGUAAUCCAGCCAUGUGGUGUAACUUAAUGUACAGUAACUGUUAUAGGUACUGUGACGAUAAGUGUAACUUAGCUACAAGUGUCAUAAUAGUCAUACCGGAGAGUAACGCAUUUCUACACUCACUGCAGUUUUAAAAACGUUUCCAGACAAGCAACGGUAGAACGAUAUGUUCGUUAACGUAUAACAUGUAAACAUUCCCCGCUGAUUAAUCAGCCCAGGAGCUGUCAAACUAGCUAAGCUGGCUAGCCUAGCCAGCUAGCUAGCAAGCGGAUAGCUUGUUAGCUAAGUGCGUUAGCGUGGACUGUCGGAGGAAUCGCACAAACAACAAGCUUCGUGAUCUCAUAACAGUGCAGUUUUAUCUCACACUAACCGAAAGACCAGGCAAAAUAACUCUGACAAAGAGGUACUCAUACUUAAGACAAAUAGUAGUUGUCAAAGUCGGCUAACUAACUCGCUACUAGCAUACAGGCUAGCUAACUUCUUAGAGUGACGUGACGUCAAAGUUUUGGACAGGAGGCGCAAACGCACCACCAGGCAGACAGGAAAGGUUACUACGGGAAAUGCCCAUGUAACGUCAUCAAAAAGCAGCAUUGGGAGUUGUAGUUUCUAGAAAGUGUUCAGGCGCCACCAUUGAUACUAAGUGUAGUCAACAUCGUCAUCAUUAUCAGCAGGUCACCACCCUGUAUGUUUUCCAUCCCUCCUCAUCUGGCAUUCAGGCAUGCUACAAUGACCCAGUGAUGCUGUGUGACAGGCCAGGCAGGGCACUGGCUGUUUGUGUCAAUCCAGAUCAAUCACUCCCUCUUCUGGACGGACAACGUCAUCAAGGCACAGAAAGGUCACAGGGUGUACCCAAGCCAGGCCUGAUGUGGUGAGCAGGGAGGUCAGUGUAGCAAGUGAACACCCUUGGCUGACAGAGUGUCAUCUUAAAUAAAAUUGGCAUUCCAUUGUAAAUUUUUGUAAAGGAAGAUUAAAUGUC